GGGCUUCAUGUAUACGAGGCAAGCACUCUUGCCACUAAGGCCAUAUUCCCAGCUCCCGUCUUGUACAUUUUUAUGUCUGUCUGCUUCUUGAAUACAUUACUGUUUGUGAUAAAGACUCCCCUGUGGUUAUUUUAAUUUGCUUGGCAGAUGCAUGUUUGAGUUUGGCCUUCAUUUUCUCUGUAGCUAUUCAGAAAGAGAUCUAUAUUGUCUUCUGUCCUCAGAAUCCACUCACUGAGGUGAUGAAUUUGGUGACUUGGAAACGUGCUAUGUGAGUGAAUCAUGGAAAAAUGUAUUGUAAAGGAUUCUGGUUACGAUUUUCUAGUUCUACUUCUUGUUUGCUUUCCUGUAACACCUUACUUCUCAAUAUGUAAAAUUUUAUCUUUACUCAUACCAGUGUUUCUUGUUAACCAAAUUAUCUCCCAAGACUGUUUAUAUAGACUGGAAGUAUGUCUUAUGUCUGAGGGUGUGGGUGUUCUAAAGUACCUUCCAGAAAACAUCUAGGAAUUUUUGCCCACCUACUUGGUUUCCCUGGGGGGUAAGAGAAGGUGAUUAAUGGAAGAUGAAAAAAAAAUCAAAACCACCUCACAAAAAGCCACCAACAAAAUGGUAUCUUUAUGUUUACAUUUUUUUAAAGGUAAAACCCAUCAGCUACAAGCUAGGCAGCCAAAUAAGAUAAUACAUAUUAUUCUGUUCUAUACUAUGUAAAAUUUCCUCUUUCUUGGAAGAUAUUCUCUCCAAAGAUUGUCUAAAAAAUAGUUCUGUUCUGACAAGAUCUGCUUUUUGUUAUCUAUCUCAGUUUACUGGAUGAGAGAGGGAAACUGGGGAAAAGUAAAGGAAUGGAAUACAUUGUCCAAAAA